GAUUCUUACAUUAUCUUACCUGGCUAAUGACUAUGGUUGUUACUUACAGCGUCAGAUUCCUCAAUUUUUCUUAACCUUAACUGCUCCAGUAAUCAUGUUUAAUACAUUCACGUUCUCUUUUAGUGCUUCUAAGCGCUUCAAACCCCAACCAUUCCUCGAAGUCUUCACAGAGCCAUGGGGUUGUUGUGCAUACCAACAUCAUCAAGUGUUGUUCUUCAAACAUUGUUCCUCAUCUGUUGUGCAUUCUUUGUUUCUCAAGCUCUUGGGGCCAGAAUCCCACAACCACAACCCCAUAAGUCUCUUCCGUUCAUUUGGCCUCUGCCUGCAAAAUUCAUCUUCGGCAAUGACUCUCUUUCUGUUGACCCUGCACUUUCUCUCUCUGGCAAUGGUGCUGCCUCUGCCAUUGUUCGAGAUGCUUUUGAUAGAUACAAAGGGAUCCUGUUCAAGCAUGGCGACAGAUUCAGUUUUCUCAGAACACUGAGGCCUGUCUAUGAUGUUACCAAAUUGAGCAUCAAUGUUCAUUCCCACAGUGAGGAGCUUCAACUUGGAGUGGAUGAAAGCUACAAUUUGUUCGUCUCAAGAGCCCAGGCGCUUUCUGGUGCUGGGCAAGUCACAAUUGAGGCAAAUACUGUUUUUGGUGCAUUGCGUGGAUUAGAGACAUUCAGCCAGUUGUGUUCUUUUGAUUAUACAACUAAAACAGUGCAAAUAUACAAGGCACCUUGGUCCAUCCGAGAUAAACCUAGAUUUCCAUACCGUGGGCUUAUGUUGGAUACAUCAAGGCACUAUUUACCAGUUGACGUAAUUAAGCAGAUAAUUGAAUCUAUGUCCUACGCUAAACUUAAUGUUUUACAUUGGCACAUCAUAGACGAGCAGUCAUUUCCUCUUGAAGUACCUACUUAUCCAAAUUUGUGGAAAGGUUCAUACACAGAGUGGGAACGUUACACAGUAGAGGAUGCAUAUGAAAUUGUCAACUUUUCCAAAAUGAGAGGCAUAAAUGUGAUGGCGGAAGUGGACAUCCCUGGUCAUGCGGCAUCAUGGGGGGUUGGAUAUCCCAAUCUUUGGCCAUCACCCUCCUGUAAGGAGCCACUAGAUGUUUCGAAGAAGUUUACUUUUGAUGUCCUUUCUGGUAUUCUAACAGAUAUGAGAAAAAUAUUUCCAUUUGAACUAUUUCACUUGGGUGGUGAUGAAGUGAAUACAGAUUGCUGGAGUAAUACUUCUACAGUGAGUAAAUGGCUUCGGAAUCACAACAUGACUGCUAAAGAUGCCUAUCAAUAUUUUGUACUGAAGGCUCAAAACAUAGCUCUUACAAAAAAUUGGAGUCCAGUAAACUGGGAAGAAACCUUCAAUACUUUUCCAACUAAGCUCCAUCCGCGGACUGUAGUGCAUAACUGGUUGGGCCCUGGGGUUUGUCCAAAGGCUGUUGCAAAAGGUUUCAGGUGUAUUUUCAGUAACCAAGGUGUAUGGUAUCUUAACUAUCUAAAUGUACCUUGGGAUGAUGUCUAUACUGCUGAGCCGCUAGAAGGAAUACGGAAAGCUUCGGAACAAAAACUUGUACUUGGAGGAGAAGUCUGUAUGUGGGGUGAGACAGCUGAUACAUCAGAUAUUCAGCAAACAAUAUGGCCUCGAGCGGCGGCAGCAGCAGAACGCUUGUGGAGUCAGAGAGAUUCUACUUCAGGAAAUGCUAACAUAAUUGCAUUGCGGCGAUUGCAUUACUUCAGAUGUCUCUUGAAUAGACGAGGGGUUCCAGCUGCUCCUGUCAAUAAUUUUAAUGCAAGAACUGCUCCUGUUGGUCCAGGCUCAUGCUUUGAACAAUAAACUUAUCAUGUUUAUCUAGCUUGGGGUUAGUGAACGUUAGAGCUUAGUGAAUUGUGGUGAAUUUACAACAUUCACAUUUGGGAUUGUUCUUGCCCGGGCGUGCCGUUUCACUUGCUGGAAGUCUAAAGUUGAUACGUUAAAAUAGUUAAUAAGCAUAAAUAUGAAUUCUUUCAAAAUGCAUGCAUUAAUUCCCCAUUUAAUAUUGCAGCAGCCAACC